AAUUUAUUAAUUUUUUUAAUCGUAAAAUUUUCAUCUAAAAAUUUGACUGCUUACAUCGCCCAUUACGAGCACAGCAUCUACACCAACACUAGUCGAUUUUUGUUUAUUUAAUUAUGAAAUAUUUUUAAUUACAAAAUUUUUACUAUUCAUCUGACUGGCAGCUAGCUGAAAAAUUACAACAAUUUAUUGAUUCAAAAUUUUAAUGUGAUCAUAAACCAGCCAUUUGCCGUUGUAGUGGAGUGAAUAUGAAUGAAUGAAUGCUAUAAGUCAGAAAGCGCAUAAAACUUGUGAGUGUGUGUGAGUGAAGUGAGGAGAAAUGCAAAAAAGCCAUAAAUUAAGUUAUCGAAAAAUAAAUGAAAAUUUAUCAGUUCAAUUGUAAACACAUACCAGCGAGUGCUGAGUUGUUGUUUCGGGUUUUUCGCUGCCACUUUUUUCCAACAAAUUUUUCUUUUCAAUUAUUUUGUGUCUAAAAUUGUUUAAUAGCAAGUUCUUAAGCGAAGUAGUGGAAAAACAAUGAAAAUAAAACAACAAAAAAAAAAAGAAAAGCAAACAAAAAGGAAAGAAAAUUUUGACUAUGACGUUGUUGCCAACGCACAAACCGCAUAUAGUACACGGCUACUAUAUGCAUAUAAAUAUAUAUUUACAUAUACAUACAUACAUAUAACCGAUUGUAUAAGUGUUUACUUAGCUGUUGCGUUUUAUUGUAGUUUAGGCACGGGAAAUGCCUUAAAAAUGCCGUUAUUUCAGCAUAAAAUGACUUGCCUUGCCUUCAAUGCUUAGCCUGCCGAUUUGGGCGGCGAAAGUGGCUGCAGCGGCAAUGGCAUGACGCAGCGCCGUGUGACUUUGGAAUGCUUAUCAUACAAAGCGUGUUGUUUUUGUUGGGCGCUGAGUGAUCUUUGUGGUUUUUAGCAUGUUUUUAGUAUGAGAAUUUAGUAUUACAUUUUUCAUUUAUUUAUGUUUUUAUUUUGUUUUUUUUUUUUUUUUCAUUACUUUACUCUGUAUUUGGUUUAAGCGCUUUUUCUUCCGUCUGUCGACGCGAACUUGUCUCUCAGUUUUUGAGUUAUUGAUCUGAAAUUUUGCACACGUUCUUUUCUCCACAAAGAGCUGCUAAUUUGUCGGAAUCGUCGUGAUCGAACCACUAUAGCAUAUAGCUGCCAUACAAACUAACCGAUCGAAAGCAGGUCCUUGUAUGGAAAACAUUUUAUUUGAUAAGAUAUCUUCACCAAAUUUGACAUAGAUUAUUACCAAAGUCGGCGCAACCAAUCUUCAAACAAAAUUUGCGGAUCGAACGACUAUAACAUAUAGCUGCCAUACAAACUAACUGAUCGAAAAGCAAGUCCUUGUAUGGAAAACUUUUUGAUUUGUCGAGAUAUCUUCACGAAAUUUGACACAGAUUAUUGCCCAAUGCAACGCUACCAAACUCCAAAUGAGUUUUUCCGAUCGGACUACUAUAGCAUAUAGCUGCCAUAUAAACUCACCGCGCAAAAUCAAGUCCUUGUAUGAAAAACUUUUUUUUUUGACAAUAUAUCCUCACGAAAUUUGUUAUAUAAUAUUUUCCAAGGCAACUCUACCAAACUUCAAACAAAUUUUUCAGAUCGGAUCACUAUAGCAUAUAGCUGCCAUACAAACUGAACGCUCAAAAUGAAGUUCUGCUAUGAACACUCCAUUUCCUUUGCCAAAAUACCUUCAAGCGCGGCAGAAGUUAACGUUUUUACUUCUUUUAUAUAUUUUUGUAUCCUUCCUUCAACUUUUUUUCGUUCAAUAUUCGGCCAUAUCUGCCGUUAGUUCACUGCCAAUUUGACCUUAGCUGCCACUCAUUCACUGCUGCAUGAUUGCAUGAUUGCUGCCUGCAUUUCUUGAUAUACUUUACUUUAGAAAGCAAAGUAAGUGGAAGGAAAAUUAAAAGUAAAAACGAAGCAUACAAAUAAAUAAUUCUGCUAAGACUUCGUGAUUGUGAAUUUUUCAUUAUUUACAUGCAUUUUUUAUACUAUAUAACAAUUACAAAUUAUUAUUUUCGCCUCAACUUUUCAAUGCACUCAUUUGCCCGUAGGCGGUGUGUGAGGCGGCAGGGCGGUUGGUUGCGCUCGAAAAUUGCCACUUUUUCAAUUAUUUGCGCUGCCAUUGUUAUGCUUGGUAAUCAAUAAAGCUGCACAGACAACCCCCUCCCCCACCAUGCACGCCUAUAACUUCACACAAACUACCGUUAUGCAUGCAGCCGCCUGCCAUUCAAUGAUUCGUACGAUUUCGCCCCCAUUUUCAUUAAGUCCUUUUUCAUUGGUUUUCCAAUUUGCGCAUUGCCGCCUCUAGAACUCAAUAUUUUCUCAGUACCCUCGUCUUUUUUUUUUCGGGGCUUGCUUGCCAAUCUCUAUGCAUAUUGCUCGCGUUCAUAUGAAUUCUUAAUAAUUUCGCGCGUCUUUGCUUUGCUUGAGUGAUUUUUUUCGAAUAUUUUUUUUUUAUUAUUUUCCGCUUUCAUCUGCUUCGUGACGAAUUAGGCCAUAGCUACUUUUGUAUUUUUAACAAUGCCGGAUUUGCGCCGUUUCACACAUCCACAGCCACACGUUUGCUAUUUGCCUUCGUGCCUUGCUCGCUGCCGUUUAGCGUAUCCUUAUCAAAUAUGCCUAUUUCUUUUUGAUAUGCGAAGACGUGUAUGUAUGUCGUCGCCGCCCACUGUUUGUUAUUCAUACAUUCAUUCAUUCAUUCGUUCGAUCGUUUAACUAUUCAGCCGUGUUCGCUGGCGCUGCAUUCAUUCAUGCUCGACAAGUGUCGUAGAGGCUUUGGCAUCUUAAUUUGAAUUUGAAUCCUCGAACAGCAUUCGAAUUACCAAUUGUUGCUCGCAUUUCCAUCCAAAUUUCAGCGCCUCCCAAGCGCUAUUGUGUGGCGUGGUAAGUUGCUUAGUGUGGCAUGGCAUAAUUUUAAGAAGUGCAGAGUCGUUCUUCCAGAUUUUUGUGUAGAAAUGCAGCCUGAGAUUUUGCAAGGAUUUUGUAAGGACAGCAUCGUUAAGCACCUCAUUCUAAGUUAUCCAUAAUCGGGAUUUCUCAAAUGUCGUGGUAUCUUGUGAACUAAAUCUGCAUCUAAAUUUUUACGAUCCUUUCUUUUUUCAGUUAAUUCCACUUUACCUCUAUAGUUUAGUAGAGACUUAAUAUCUAAUUCUGAUACUUCACCCAGUCUCUUGAACUCCGAAGCUCCUAGAUUUCUAAGCUCAGAUGGAGGUUCAGUUCAAUACCAGAUGAAAUUUAUUUCCUGCUGGACGUCAACGUUUUUUGUGAAAUUUAAUAGAGACUUAAUAUCUAAUUCCGAUACUUCACCCAGUCUCUUGAACUCCGAAGCUCUUAGAACAACCUUGAACUCCGAACACCCUUGAACUCCGAAGCUCCUAGAUUAUAUAUCUUAAGUCGAGUUCUAAAUAAAGCCGUACAGAAGUAGAGGCGGUGUUCUAGCUUCUAUCUUCUGCCUACUUCCAUGUAGUAUUUACAUGUGUCAACGUUAAUAAUGUUCACAGGGCUCACAUAUGAUGCCGGGAAGUUAUGCCUUUUGACUAGGCCAACAACUGUCUUGGAGUCAUUUCCAGAUCGUGUGAAUAUAAUGCACUUAUGUCUUUCUUUUACCUUGUACAUCAUCUUGCCUAUCCUGCAUAACUUUAAGGCAGUCUAUCUCGCCCUGAUCCGACUGUCAGCCCCACACCUCGAUAAUCGAAGAAAACUGCUCUGACUUUGUUUUUUUCGGCUACGGUUGCCACGAUAUUCGGCCGUUUGAUCCUAUGUUACCGAGUCGUAUGCGUAGAUCCUAGACUCAUCGCCAGUAAUAAUACAUUUCAUGACAUCCUGAUAGCCUUAAAGCAUUCAUUGUUUCACAGAAAAAAUUGCCUGAUUCUGGAUCCAAUUGUGUUUUCACUUUUCUAAGGCCAGAUUAUUUUUCAAAAUGGUUUUCACCUUUCCUUCCGAUAUUCCAAUGAUGCCAGUAAGAUCUCUAUUCUUUAUUUUGUUGAUGGCCGUCCUGGACGUGGUUCGUCGUCAAAGCGUUCUCGACCCACUUCCGUUUAGAGUUAGUUUGCCAGCAUUACAGUUUUCCCAUGUUUUUAUUCUAGUUGACUGUAAAAUUAUAUACCAAAUACUUCACUCUUCUGAAAACGUGUUUUUAACUUUAGAAUCCAAAUCCAAAAUCCUUAGAUCUGACUCGAAAAUUUGGAAAUAUUAAUAAAUUUUGAUACUAGGAUUUGUUUCGCCUUUGAACUAAAUGAUCACAUAACCUUUAGAGAUUGUAUGUCAUCGAGAUAGUUAUCUCACGAAUUGAAAGAACUUUUCAGUAUGUAUUCUCUAUUUUUUCUACCAUAUUUUCUCUCUCUCUUUUCUUAAUUCCAUCAUACUUGUAUUGGUUCGGUAAUGAUCUCAAGAAAAACGAUCAUAAGUGAUCUUACACUAUUAUUGAGUGAUCAAGGAAGAGUGAGUUGUGUUUUUAGUAUUGUAGAAUAGUGUUAACUAUUUAGUUCAUUUUUUAGUUUCUCAGUCAGUCGAAAUAAAGUUUCGAAGUGAUUUUAGCGAUCAUUUGGAACCGACUUUAUAUGCGAAAUUUUUGUUUUUUUUGAUUAUGAAAUCAUCGAUAGGAUGUAAAGAAAGUAAUAAUAAAUACAGACAUGCUCUGAUAUGUUUAUAAAAGGUUUUCCUUUUAUUCACCUUUAGAUGAGUUGAACAUCGUUUAGCAAACGUUCUUAAGAAAACUGAUCUUCAGUGAACCUGAACGAAAUAGAUCUUGCUUUUGAAGCAAAGAAGUCAUCAUAUAUUAUUGAUAUAUAUUGAUAUAUGAUAUGCAAUUGAUUGAAAUUAUUGAAGAAAGAAAUUGAAAACAUACAUACAUAUAUUAAUGUAUGCGUUGUAUGCGAUCUCCAUGGACGAUCUUCAGUGAUCAUAUAUCAUAUAUGAUCGUACCAGAUUUUUAAGAUGGAGUUUUGAGAUUUUUUCAAUUAAAAAUGUAUAAAGAUUGAUCAUUGGAAGCUUUGAAGUUAUUAUAUUGAUAUAUUGUAAAUAAAAUUGUUUGAAAACAUAAGAUAAUGCUGUCCUCGAUCUAUACAAGUAUAAACGAUCCUCAAUGAUCAUACGAGUAUAUGGUUUUUACAAGUAGUUUUCAGUUUUUUUUAAACCAGUAGUUGAAAAAAAAUAAAUAAAUAAAAUCGGAGUGCUGUUUUCGAACACUAUAGAUGAUCUUCGGCGAUCAUAUGUGAUCGUGCUAGGUUUUCGAGAUGAAGUUUUGAGAUUUUUUCAAUUAAAAAUGGUAAAAGCUCGGGCAUUAGAAGCAUAGCUGUCAUUAUAUGGACAUACCUAUUAUUAAAUUUUUGAAAAUAAAUUUGAUCGAAAAAAUAUGAGAAUGCUGUUCUCGAUCGCUAUAGACUAUUUUCACUUAUAGUUUUUUACAAGAAAUUUAAAUUUUUUUUUAAAUAUAAAUUAGAUAAAUUAAAAAAAUAUGUCCUCUAGUUAUCUGAAGGCUGUCUUUACUGAUUUUUCAGAUUUUUUUAAAUUUAGUAAUUGGAAAAAAUAAAGUUGGGCGUGCUGUCUUCGAUCGCUAUAAACGAUCAUUAGUGACCAAAUAUAAACGGAAACUAGCUUUUUCGUUGAAAAAUUCUGAUUUUUUGGAUUUAGUAAUUGGGCAAAACAAAAAUUAAGAAUUAAAAUAGCUUUCCUUGUGGCUGAUAAGCUAUAAAAAUGUAAGCCUUGUCUUUUUUUUUGCAUUUCCAUUGCUCCAUUUAUCCAUUUGACACUCCAUGGUUAGCUGGCGCGCUCGUAAAAAACGAAAUAUUCUCUAUUUAUACGCAAAUUCAAUGCCAGCAGAGUUCGCAAAGCAUACAAUUAGACACCGGAAUAUACAUACAGACAUGCUAACACACAUAUACAUGUAUAAAUAAUAUUUAAGUGUCACAUGUCCAUGGACAAUUUCUGCGAAACUCAGCAGAAACGAGUUGGCUGACUAAGUGCUGACAACACAUGGCCGCAAAACCGUGUGGCAACAGUCUUAAAAUAUAUAUGUAUGUAUUUAUAUACAAGCUUAUAUAACAGUAGAUGGUUAGCAUUAGAAGAUACGUGGCUAAAAUUUUAAUGUCAGAAAAAUGAAGCAGCUAAAAAAAGCGAUGUCUUCGAUAUUAGAACUUUUCUGCUUCAGCGCACCGCUGGGAGAGUAGUGAUUGCGUCGGCGGGGAGCUGGCACGGCGAGUUGACGGUGUAACAGAAAUUAUGACAUGAAACAACAUACACAAAUAUGUGUGUGCAUAACUUUACAUUGUACGUACGUCCGUCCGGUGGAUGAGUUCAGUUCAGCACAGCUGACAGCUGGGAUUGCCUUUGGUUGGCUGGCGGCUGACUGGUUCGCUGAUGGGUUCAAUGAGUUGGUGGCGUUUGUGCAUUUGUCAGGUUCAAGAAAUCAGGCUAAAUAUAUAGUGAAAUAUAUAGCCAUACAUAUACACACACAUAUGUACAUAUAUUUCUGUUUAUGUAUGUAUGUAUGUGUGUGUAUAAAAUAUUUGUGUAGGACAGGCACAUGUGAGCAUGAUGGAUUUCGGUGAUUUUUUUUUCAUUUGUGCACAUACAUACGAACACAUAUGAGCAGCGUGCGUGCACACGUGUAUAAUUGUGUUUAUAUACAUACAUAAAUAUCUACAUAUGUAGUCACUGUCAUACAAAUGAAUGUAAAUAUGUCGCAUUACUCAGCUUUGAGAAUGUUUCUCCGGCAUUGCGCGCCUUUCUACUGCCGCCAUACAAUAUAUACAUGCGCACAUACAUAAGCAUAAACACAUACAUUUGUAUAUAAGCUUGUGUGUUUGCCUGUGCGCCUGAAAGUUGGCCGUGGCCGCGUGUGUGAUGGAUGCCUUUAAUGCGUAAUAAGAAGCGUUGAAAAACGUGUUGAACAUUGAAAGCGUUUUGUUGUUGGUAAUUGAGAGAAUAUAUUUUUUUAAAUUUUUUUUUGUACUAUAUGGGAAACAAGCAUGCGAGUCGCGGCAAAGUAAAAUUAAAAUAAAAUUGAAAAAGUAAAUGCAUGAGAAAAAAUAAAUAAAACGCGAGCGAAAAUAAAAGUGUGGCAAAAUAAAAUUAAGUAAACAAAAAAUGUUGCUGCGUAUCUUAUUAAAUAAAUCACUUAACAUAAAAAACAAACAAUUAUGUAAAAAGCACUGGGAAUAUUAAAAGGAAAUUAUAUAAAAAUUAUAGUAAAAAUUUACAAAAAAUAAAUAAAUAAAAUAACUACAAUAAUAAUAAUAAAAAUAAUAUAAAAAAUAAUAAUAUAAUAUAAAAAAUAAUAAUAAGAUAAUAAAAACAAUAUAAAAAAUAAUAAUAACAUAAUAAAAAAAUAACAUAUAAAAAGUUUUCCACACAAAAACUUGAUUUUGAUCAGCAGUUUGUAUGGCAGCUAUACGCUAUAGUGGUCGGAUCCGAGAAUUUUUUUCAUAUAUUAUAGUGUUGACUUGGAUAAUAUUAUGUGCUGAAUUUCGUGAAGUUACCUCUGCAAAUAAAAAAGUUUUCCAUACAAAGACUUCGUUUUGAUUGUUCAGUUUGUAUGGCGGCUAUAAGCUAUAGUAGUUCGAUCUGUACAAUUUCUUCGGAGAUUUUACUAUUUCCAUAGGUAAUAAUCCAUGCCAAGUUUCGUGAAGAUAACUUGUCAAAUACAAAAGUUUUCCAUACAAGGACUAGAUUUUGACCGAUAAGUUUGUAUGACAGCUAUAUGCUAUAUUAUUCCUAUCUGAACAAUUUCUUCUGAGAUUAUAGUGUUGCCGCAUAUAGUAAUCCAUGCCAAAUUUUGUGUAGAUAUCUCGUCAAAUAAAAAAGUUUUUAACAAGGACUUGAUUUAGCUCGUUCGACCUGAACCAUUUCUUCCGAGAUUUUUCCGUUGCAUAAGAUAAUAUUAAAAACAACUAUGAACGCGGGACAGAGAUAGGUGGGCGACAUUGUUAAAAUAGUAAAAUGAAAAUUUGUCAACAUUCUUCAUCGUCCCUUUCACCAGUAGAAGAUCCCUGACGGGCUUAAGGACUCUAACCCUAAGCGGCAGGGUAAUAUCACUGUCGAAUUAAGUGAAAUACGUCUGAGUCCGACAGUAGCGUUCGAGGUUGUUAUGUGACUUACUCCGCUCCACAAUGUGAUCGAUCAAAUUUGAUUUGGAAAACAAACUAUGCUGGAUAUGUGUACAUGGCAGAGGGCUUUGCCAGGGGAGAAGUGAUAUAGGCCACUCUCCAAACGCUCUCCAUCUUUGCUGUGGGUACAUACUAUGCCACAUUUACAAGAUAAAUAUUCCGGAAGGUGAAAAAGGUAGAGAGAGACAAGCAUGGGAGCAAAUUUUUGGGUAGCGCCAAGUUAAACUGAACUUGAAUUUAUUAGGGUGUAAGGCCUAAUGAUGCUUUGUAGAAAGGGAGGAGCGUACAAUAGGUCAUAGGUCGCAGUGCAUACCUCAAUAACUUUCUGUUAUAUUAUAUUUUAUACUAUGAAUGAGAUAAAAAAUUAUGAUAAAUAAAAAAUAAAAAUUAAUAAAAAAAGAAAACGGAAAUAAAUAAAUAAUAAAAUAAUUAAAAUCACAAAAAAUUAAAUAAAAAGUAACAAAAAAACAAAUAUAAUAAUAAAAUAAAAUAACAAAAAUUGAAAUAAAAAUAAAUUAAAAAUUAACAAAAAUAGAAAAGAAAUACAAAAUAAAAAAGGAAAAUGAAAACAAUAAAUAAUAAAUAAAAAAAAAAUUAAGUUAAGUGAAAAAAUAAAAAUUUAUAAAAUAAAAUAACAAGAAAUCAUCAAAAUAAAUUUAAAAAAAAAGAAAAUUAAGUAAAAAUUGAAAAGUAGAUAAAAUCAAAAUAAAUUAAAGUAAAAAAUAUAUAUAUAAUAAAAAUCUAUAAAUAAUUUAAAAAAAUAAAAAAAACAUGAAUAAAUAUUAAAAAUGAACAAAAAAAUAAAAUACUAAAUAAAAUUAAGAAAUAAAUAAAUAAAGAAGCUAAAAUAAAAACAUUACAAAAAUAAAAAAUAAUAAAUUAAAAUAACAAGACAUGACCAACAAAAAAAAAAUUAAAAGAAACUAAAAAUAAAAAAAA